rnacentral:sRNA from 1 species
UUAAUAUAGAUAUUUUUUUAACGGGUUUCGAAUUUGUCCAAAACCCGGAUAUUUAUUAUUAAUUUUAACAAUUUUUACGUGGAAUUAUUAUAAUUUUAUUAUUUAAUUAAUAUUUAACGGCCGUUUUUUUUUUUUUUGCGGUUUUUCGCGGCCAAAAUCGUUUUUACGGCCCAAAUUUUUUCGGGUUCGCCGGUUUUUUUUAUCGGUUAAAAUCCGGAAUUGGGCCGGAAAUCGGUUCGAAUUUAAAACGGUAAUAAAUCGUUAACGGUUCGUUCCACCAAUUCCACGUAAAAAAUAAAAUAAAUUUUUCGCGGAAUAUUUAACGUAACCGUAAAUAAAAUCGGUAUAAUUAUAAUUCGGUAUUUUCCGUAAAUAUAAUCGAAUUUCCUAUACGGGUGGUUUAUAUAUAUAUUGCGUAAAUUAAAAAACAUUUUGUCCCCGACCCGGAAUUGUUUAACCGAAUAUUAUAAUUUAUUCGCCCCGGUUUUUUAACGUUAUUAAUUAUACGUAAUAGCGGUUUGGACCAAUUUGGAAUUUUUUCGUAAAUAUUCCAAAAACCGAAUAGUUUUAAUUUUUGGAUUCGAAACCGGUAUUUUGGAAAAAAAGGCGGUAUUUGGUACCGUUUCGAUAUUAAAUCCAAAUAAUAAUUUAUUCGGAUUUAUUCCCGUAAUUAAAAAAUUCCGGUUAUUAAAAACCAAUUAUAUUACCCCCAAAUAAUCGAACCAAUUUUUUUGGUCGAAAAUUAUAUAAACCCUAAAAUAUUAUUAAAUUUUUUAAUUAACCCGUUCCAUAUCCCCGUCGGUUUUUGGAUAAUAAAAAAUUAAAAAUAAUUAUUUUACCCCCGUUUAUUUGCAUAAUUUUAUCCAAAAACCCCCCACCCAAUCGGAAUUUUUAUUGGAAAUAAUUUAAUUGGGGAAAUUCCGAAAUCGUUAUUAAAAAAACAAAAACCGCGCCGCGCAAUUCUCCGUUUUUAUUAAAUAUAUUAUUUUUAAUUAUAUAUAUUUGGAAAAUUUGUCCGUUAUUAUUAUUAAAUAUCGAAAAAUUAUUUUUCCGUUCCCGGAUAAAUUAAUUAUAAAAUCGAUCGAAAUUUAUUUCCAAAAUUUGUCCGAUAUAAAUAAU